rnacentral:rRNA from 1 species
CAAUAGCGUAUAUUAAUGUUGUUGCAGUUAAAAAGCUCGUAGUUGGAUUUCUGGUGGGAGCGGUUGGUCUGCCCCGCGAGGGGUAGUAACUGAGCCGUAUCCGGCCCUUUUCGGGUUGAUCGUGGCCGGCAUUAAUUUGUCGGUGCGGGAGGCCCGUCGUUUACUGUGAACAAAUUAGAGUGUUCAAAGCAAAGUGUUUUUGAAUAUAUCAGCAUGGAAUAAUGAGAUAGGACUUUGGUGGUUCGUGCUCUCGGGUACGAUAUUUUGUUGGUUUGCACGCCAAAGUAAUGAUUAAUAGGAGCAGUUGGGGGUAUUCGUAUUCAAUUGUCAGAGGUGAAAUUCUUGGAUUUCUAGAAGACGAACUACUGCGAAAGCAUUUACCAAGGAUGUUUUCAUUAA